CCGACUUGAAAUGUACCGAGCCGAUUAAGUGCCAGAUGAGGAAAGAGUGGAAGGUUUCAAAAGUCAGCCUCGAGGCUCCUGUAAACGUCCCAGCUCUGGAUUUUCCCCUCAACUUCUCCUCUCCCCCAUUUGAAAAGCAUCCCCAAUACCAGUUCCCGGAUCCCAGCCAGGACACCACAGUACGUUGGGUGAUCAUGUCUCCUCACCUCCUUCUUGACUAUGACUUCUUGGCUCUCGCGUUCUCAGAACUUUCUUGUUUUUGAUGACCUCCGUACUUUUUGAGCAAAGAAACUCUUUUUGAUCUAAAAAUUCUAAAGAAAAGACUAUGCGAGAUGGAACCUAAAGGGACUGAUUUCCCAUUUACUGGACACUUUCGGUGGCAAUGGAUAGAGAGAAGUACACACAAGCUCUUUUCAUCCAAGUUUAUAAUCUAGUAGGUAUGUAUAUCACUUUUACUAUAAGUUGAAAGAACCUCAAAAUAAUGAUUUUAGAUAAAGUUGAUGGAGAA